ACGAAGGGUGCUAGCGUUGUUCGGAAUCACUGGGCGUAAAGCGCGCGUAGGCGGCUUUUCAAGUCAGGGGUGAAAUCCUUGGGCUCAACCCAAGAACUGCCUUUGAAACUGUAAAGCUGGAGUGUCGGAGGGGAUAGCGGAAUUCCUAAUGUAGUGGUGAAAUACGUAGAUAUUAGGAGGAACACCGGUGGCGAAGGCGGCUAUCUGGACGACAACUGACGCUGAGGCGCGAAAGCGUGGGGAUCAAACAGGA
rnacentral:rRNA from 1 species